GACGAACGCUGGCGGCGUGCCUAAUACAUGCAAGUCGAACGGUCUUUUCUAUGGAGGCUUGCUUCCACUGAGAAGAUAGUGGCGAACGGGUGAGUAAGACGUGGGUAACCUGCCCAUAAGAGGGGGAUAACAUCCGGAAACGGGUGCUAAUACCGCAUAGUUUUCUUGAUCGCAUGAUCGAGAAAGGAAAGACGGCCUUUGUGCUGUCGCUUAUGGAUGGACCCGCGGCGUAUUAGUUAGUUGGUGAGGUAACGGCUCACCAAGACGAUGAUACGUAGCCGACCUGAGAGGGUGAUCGGCCACAUUGGGACUGAGACACGGCCCAAACUCCUACGGGAGGCAGCAGUAGGGAGUCUUCCGCAAUGGACGAAAGUCUGACGGAGCAACGCCGCGUGAGUGAAGAAGGUUCUCGGAUCGUAAAACUCUGUUGUCAGAGAAGAACAAGUCGGAGAGUAACUGCUCCGGCCUUGACGGUAUCUGACCAGAAAGCCACGGCUAACUACGUGCCAGCCGCCGCCGUAAAAC
rnacentral:rRNA from 1 species